rnacentral:rRNA from 1 species
CCUACGGGAGGCAGCAGUGGGGAAUAUUGGGCAAUGGAGGAAACUCUGACCCAGCGACGCCGCGUGAGGGAUGAAGGCCUUCGGGUUGUAAACCUCUUUCAGUAGGGAAGAAGCGAAAGUGACGGUACCUACAGAAGAAGCACCGGCUAACUAUGUGCCAGCAGCCGCGGUAAUACAUAGGGUGCAAGCGUUGUCCGGAAUUAUUGGGCGUAAAGAGCUCGUAGGUGGUUCGAUACGUCGGAUGUGAAAAUCAGGGGCUCAACCCCUGACCUGCAUCCGAUACGGUCGAGCUAGAGUUUGGUAGGGGAGACUGGAAUUCCUGGUGUAGCGGUGGAAUGCGCAGAUAUCAGGAGGAACACCGAUGGCGAAGGCAGGUCUCUGGGCCAAUACUGACACUGAGGAGCGAAAGCGUGGGGAGCGAACAGGAUUAGAUACCCUGGUAGUCCACGCCGUAAACGGUGGGCGCUAGUUGUGCGAAACCUUCCACGGUUUGUGCGACGCAGCUAAACGCAUUAAAGCGCCCCGCCUGGGGNGGAGANNCANAAUAAAUAACAAANAAGAAUAGUAGCGNGAGAGNGCGACGACGACACGAGGGAGGAGG